rnacentral:rRNA from 1 species
GUAGGGUGCAAGCGUUAUCCGGAUUUAUUGGGCGUAAAGAGUUUCGUAGGCGGUUAGUUAAGUACAUGGUUAAAGGCUCCGGCUUAACCGGAGAGAUGCUGUGUAUACUGGCUGGCUAGAGGGUCGUCGGGAGUGCCGGAAUUCUCGGUGGAGGGGUGAAAUCCGUUGAUAUCGAGAGGAACACCAAAGGCGAAGGCAGGCACUUAGGCAAUUUCUGACGCUGAUGAACGAAAGCUAGGGGAGCGAAAGGGAUUAGAGACCCCUGUAGUCCUAGCCGUAAACGAUGGAUACUAGCUGAUCGGAGCAAUCUGGUCGGCGUAAGCUAACGCGUUAAGUAUCCCGCCUGGGAAGUACGGCCGCAAGGCUA